AAAUACACUAUCUUAACUGCUUUCGAGACGGUCAAGCGGCUUGAUGGCAAGCACGUAGUUUUGUUUUGCUUGCUCAAGCAGCUUGGUGCACCCGUCAAGUAGAGCCAGCAAAAGGGUGUCUUAUUUCACGAAUACUGUCAGAACGUCGC